rnacentral:lncRNA from 1 species
AAUCCACCUCCAGAUGGCUGAGUACCUUCAAAGGUGCUUCUGACAUAAAAGGUUAAGACAGAUUUCUUACAUCCAAUCAAUUAUAUUGCCCUUGUAAAUAUGCAACCUGAGUUUUGUUUGUUUUUUAGUCUGAAUGUCUGUAUUAAGAUGGGCUCUCCAGGAAAAAGAUUUUGAGUCUGAGAUUUGUGUGCAGGAUGUUCAUUAGGGAUAUACCCUGGCUCACCCAUGGGGGGUGAAGGACAUGAGACUGGGCACAGGGAAGAGGUGAAUUGGAUGCAAUCACAACAAAAAUCAUUCCAGAAAAGGGACUCAGCUGACAGCUAUCAGCCACCAACAUUUUGCAGUUGGAGGAAUAAAUAUCUCAGUCCUGAAGGGGAAUCCAGACAGCACCUCAUAGCAUUCAUUUCAACAGAACCACUACAAUGGUAAAUCCUCUGCACUCUCCAGCUGUCUGAAGUGUCCCAAGCAAGAAGGAGACUUCUCGACUCCCUCUUUAAAUCAGCCAGUGUCAACAGAUUGAGGAAGAGGAGGAGCUGAAGUGCAGAGGGAGAAGAAGGAAUAGUUUCUGGGCUCACACCCAUAAUCCUACACUGUACACAGAAAAGGAACUGAACAAAUAUUCCGAAGAAAGAAAAGUAGUUGUUCCUGUAUUAUGCAAAUAGAGAAGAAGCUUUUUUAUAUUUCCCCAAGCUUUCCAAAGUGGCUGUUUAUUUUACCAUAAUAUUAUUUUCUUAACAAGUUGCUAAAUAAUUAGUAUUUCCAUUUCAUCCUCUAACUUAUGGAUGCUUUCUGGGUCCCCCUCUUCAUUUUUUAUUCCUCUUGAUUAUUUCUGAUAAGAAAUGAACAGAUCAAAACUAUAGCUGAGGUGACCAAACAUAUGUAUAUAAUCUAUCUGAUGAGGCUAUCAAAAAGCUCAAAUUUGGAGCAUGGUAAAACUAUUUUUUCAAAAAAAAAAUUAAACUAAACCACCAGUAAAAAUUUUUUUCUAAGACCACACAAUCAGUAGUUUAAGAGAAAAAAAAUGGUUUAUAUUUAAUUGGUCAUGAACUGAGUGAUGUGAUGAAAAGAAAGUGUUAAGAGGAAUAAAACCCCAAAGAUAAUAUUAUAAAGGCUUUCC